GAAUCCAUAGGUUAAUGAGGCGAACCGGGGGAACUGAAACAUCUAAGUACCCCGAGGAAAAGAAAUCAACCGAGAUUCCCCCAGUAGCGGCGAGCGAACGGGGAGCAGCCCAGAGCCUGAAUCAGUAUGUGUGUUAGUGGAAGCGUCUGGAAAGGCGCGCGAUACAGGGUGACAGCCCCGUACACAAAAAUGCACAUGCUGUGAGCUCGAUGAGUAGGGCGGGACACGUGGUAUCCUGUCUGAAUAUGGGGGGACCAUCCUCCAAGGCUAAAUACUCCUGACUGACCGAUAGUGAACCAGUACCGUGAGGGAAAGGCGAAAAGAACCCCGGCGAGGGGAGUGAAAAAGAACCUGAAACCGUGUACGUACAAGCAGUGGGAGCACGCUUAGGCGUGUGACUGCGUACCUUUUGUAUAAUGGGUCAGCGACUUAUAUUCUGUAGCAAGGUUAACCGAAUAGGGGAGCCGAAGGGAAACCGAGUCUUAACUGGGCGUUAAGUUGCAGGGUAUAGACCCGAAACCCGGUGAUCUAGCCAUGGGCAGGUUGAAGGUUGGGUAACACUAACUGGAGGACCGAACCGACUAAUGUUGAAAAAUUAGCGGAUGACUUGUGGCUGGGGGUGAAAGGCCAAUCAAACCGGGAGAUAGCUGGUUCUCCCCGAAAGCUAUUUAGGUAGCGCCUCGUGAAUUCAUCUCCGGGGGUAGAGCACUGUUUCGGCAAGGGGGUCAUCCCGACUUACCAACCCGAUGCAAACUGCGAAUACCGGAGAAUGUUAUCACGGGAGACACACGGCGGGUGCUAACGUCCGUCGUGAAGAGGGAAACAACCCAGACCGCCAGCUAAGGUCCCAAAGUCAUGGUUAAGUGGGAAACGAUGUGGGAAGGCCCAGACAGCCAGGAUGUUGGCUUAGAAGCAGCCAUCAUUUAAAGAAAGCGUAAUAGCUCACUGGUCGAGUCGGCCUGCGCGGAAGAUGUAACGGGGCUAAACCAUGCAC
rnacentral:rRNA from 1 species